UACGUAGGGGGCUAGCGUUGUCCGGAAUCAUUGGGCGUAAAGCGCGUGUAGGCGGCCCGGUAAGUCCGCUGUGAAAGUCGGGGGCUCAACCCUCGGAUGCCGGUGGAUACUGUCGGGCUUGAGUACGGAAGAGGCGAGUGGAAUUCCUGGUGUAGCGGUGAAAUGCGCAGAUAUCAGGAGGAACACCAAUUGCGAAGGCAGCUCGCUGGGACGUAACUGACGCUGAGACGCGAAAGCGUGGGGAGCAAACGGG
rnacentral:rRNA from 1 species